rnacentral:rRNA from 1 species
CGAAGCAGUGAUGUGAAGCAAAUCGCACCAAAGACCAGUCCCAGUUCGGAUAAGAGGCUGAAACUCGCCUCUUUGAAGUCGGAAUCGCUAGUAAUCGCAGAUCAGCAUGUUGCGGUGAAUACGUUCCCGGGUCUUGUACACACCGCCCGUCAAACCAUGAGAGUCACCAACACCCGAAGUCCGCCUUGGCGGCCUAAGGUGGGGGAGAUGAUUGGGGUUAAGUCGUAACAAGGUACC